CACUUGAUUAAUAAAUUACAUGAGAAACAUAAAAACACAUUGUGUUGGAUAGCAUUUCAUUUUUAUUUCUAUAACUACAUCCAAACUUCACUGUUGCGGGUAGAUACAUCCCCUAAGCAGAGUUCUCUGCCUAGGAAAUGCUAUGAUUAUGUAAGGAGGCAUGGGGCAUCUCUAUUGGAAAAGCUACAGGUGGGGGGGGGGAGCAAGAUGCUGAAGAUUUGAACAGCCAUGUAAGUGGCACAGCUGUGAGACAUCUUAUGCUUCUUCCCUCUUCCAGUUUCUCCCUUAUCAUGGGGGGAGGGGGAGAGAGAGUACAAGUGUGGCAGCUCACUCCUAUAGGAGGCAGCGAUGGCCUUUGACUUGGAUGACUCUGAAAAAGGAUGUGCCAAAUUCAUGGAGGAUAAGCUAUGGCUACUAGCUAUGAUAGCUUUUCUAUUGCCUCAGUGGUUGGAGGCAGUAACACUUCCAACUACCCGUUGUUGGAAACCACAGUGUGCUCUGUGCUCAGGUCCUGCUUGUGGGUUUCCGAGGGGCAUAUUUUUUGGCCACUGUGAUAACAGAAUGCUAGACACGUCUUAUAAGGGCCUUUGCAACAGUCAUCUCCUGCUUACAGAAUACUCUCCCCAGUGAGUCCCACCUUGUGCCUACCUGAAUAUACUUAAAGUGCCAGGCGAAGACUUGUUUUCCCAUGUAUUUAAAAUUUAAUUAGAUUUAUUUUUAAAAAAUAUUCUCUCCUCUCUUUGAUCUGGUUUUUAUCUUAAGUUUUUUAAAAUGCCUCACUUCAUUUUGCUGUAUUUUUAUUGUGCUGCUUUUACCAAAUUUUUAUUUUGUGAGCUUCUUUUUGUUUUAGGGCAGCUUAUAAAUCAGGGUCGGGGGAACUUUUUUGGCAGCUAGCCAUGUUUGACAUGUGGACAGAGCCUCCCACCUGUCAGUCACCUGAUAUUAAUAUGGUGUCAGGUGAUGCUGGGCUUUGAAGCUCCAGUUGUUGGAACUUCAAAGUGCAGCAGAAAGAUGAGAGGAAGGGAAAGUCCGGUUGUGUGAGUCGAACUGUGUGUAGCACACACAGUGUUGGCUACAACCCUAUGUAAUUUUGCCUAAUACAUACUGUACAUACUGUACACAUUUUUGCAAGCAAUUUUCCCAGGUAUUUUCUUCAUGUUAUUUUGCAUUUUAAUGUACACAGUACAAACCAAAAUGUUUGGAUUAAAAAACAACAACAUAAAAUUUAUAUACUCCUUGAUUAGGUGAGCCCUAAAAGCAGUUUUUGCCUCCCCACUCCAGCUGAGAGGCAGGCAGUGGCUAUUUGACCACAUGGAGCUGCUGAACAACUGGAGGGUAUCUCUAAUAGGGAUACCUUAUGGGGAACAAGGACUGAGAAACUAUGUAGAAAAUCCCUUAAAUAUUAAUAGGCACAAAAAAUGACUUCAAGGCUGUAACUUUCUGGUGUUCAGUUCUGGAGACCACACUUUCAAAAGGAUAUGCACAAAGUAGAACAGGAUUGAGAAAGAGGGCAGCAAAGGUGGUCAGCAGCAAGGAAAGCAAAUCCCAUGAGGGAAAUUUGAAGGAACUGAGUAUGUUUCGCCUGGAGAAGAGUGAGAGAAGACAUGACAGCUCUCUUCACAUAACCCUGAAAGGCUGUCAUGGGCUUAAACUACAGAAGGUUAGGCUUUGGUUGAAGAUCAGAAGACGCUUCUUGUCGGCAAGAACAGUUCGACAAUAGAACCAAUUAUCUAGAGGCGGAUAGAAUCUCCCUCGCCAAAGGUCUUUAUGUGAAGGCUGGGCAGCCAUUUAUUAGGAAUGCUCUACCUGGGGGUGGGGGGUCUUAUAUCCUAUCAUUCUGUGAAAUCCAUGGAAUUUAGCAGCACUUGACUAUCAGGAUUGUGCCCUGCAAUAGAAUAGCAAACAAGCACAUAAAAUUCCAUGAAACAAUAGUUUAUUUUUAAACAAGUAGGAAAAAGGGUUGUUGUGGUGUCUUAAUAUAAGGCUGUGUGUUGAGUCUAAUCAGUGACACAACAAUUUGAAGCGGUACAAGACAUCUCAUGCUUAGAUUUUAUGUACAAAAAUUCAGUUUGGUUUUUUUUCCUGGUUGUAUGGGGCCUGUGGAUGAGAUAUAUAAUCUCCUGUCUUUCUUCAUUAAAAAAAAGGUUAAUCUGCAUAUAUAUGUGUAAUUUAUUUUUAAGGUCAGAGAGCGAUAAAAACAAUAAGCUGUGUUUGCCACAUACGAUAUGGAUUUGCCUCAGAAAAUUCUUAGGAUUGAAAUCCCAUAAAAUCCCCACCCAUGAAUAUUCACAUCAAUGGAUUAUAAAUGUUAUGGAGAGAUUUAUCGCAUCAAGAGACAGAAUGUGUUGAAAAGGACUACACAUGACUAAAAAGAAAACCCGACGCCUUUUGACUCUGCUAUUACAUAAAUAGCUAUCUGCAAACCUAGUCUGAAUGAAUCUGAUCUAGUUUUCUCAUAGAUAUUUAAAUAUAGAUGAGGAUAAAUUUACACUUGGGAUAUUUGGAGGAUUUUUCUAUUUAUACCAUGUGUUGUGUUUUAGUAGCAAGCAGCUCAUUAAAUUCCAGCAAAGCACAUGUUUAAAUCUCUCCUUGAAAUGAGGGCUCUUGCUUCUGUUAGGCAGAACCACCAUCAACACUAAAUAGUCAAGAUAACAGGAUAAAAACAUGGGCAUGGUUGAUUUAGGCCACAGUCCUAUGAUCUGUGGCAGGACAAUCCAGGGGUCAAAGGAUGUUCAGCUCUCCCUCUCCAAGCAAGGCUAGAGUAGAAGGUUUGCAUGGUCAGCUCCUGUUGUUGUUGUUUAGUUGUUCAGUCGUGUCCAACUCUUCGUGACCCCACGGACCAGAGCACGCCAGGCACUCCUGUCUUCCACUGCCUCCCGCAGUUUGGUCAAACUUAUGCUGGUAGCUUUGAGAACACUGUCCAACCAUCUCAUCCUCUGCCGUCCCCUUCUCCUUGUGCCCUCAAUCUUUCCCAACAUCAGAGUUUUUUCCAGGGAGUCUUCUCUUCUCAUGAGGUGGCCAAAGUAUUCGAACCUCAGCUUCAGGAUCUGUCCUUCCAGUGAGCAUUUCCUUAAGAAUGGAUAGGUUUGAUCUUCCUGCAGUCCAUGGGACUCUCAAGAGUCUCCUCCAGCACCAUAAUUCAAAAGCAUCAAUUAUUGGACCUGCCAAGGCCCAAAUGCCAGCAGGCACCUGCACCAGGUAUAGGGGGUGCUAGCGGCUCCAUCCCCCUCAAUAUUUUGAAUCAGGGGGCCCAGUUCCCCCCAAUAUUGAGGGGGCCAACAUCCACCGCCACUGCCAGGCACCCUCCGAGCGUCUCAUCCCCCACCCAGGAGCAGGUUCGGACGAGCAAGGGCGAAGAUCGCCCUCCGCGCAUCUUACCCCCUUGCACAAGCCGCAGGGAGGACGGUAUGUCACACUGGGCGGGACACAUCACGUGAUGCACCCUCCCCCAAUGCGAGGGGCAAGUUGGCACCCUUGCCGGUUGGGGACCUACUGACUAGAGUCAUCUAGGCCCGUUCCUCCUCUUCAGUAUUGGAUCCUGCUACUUCACCUUCCUCUCACUCUGGCCCAGGGAUGAGAAAGCAAACAAGAAUGGUGGUGGUGAGGAGGAGGAACUACCAUUGGCUGCUUGUUAGUUGGCUUUGUUUGAUGACAAUGAUGAGCCAGAGACGGAGCUGUAGGUGGCAACAGUGGCAGUGAAGGGGUAGAUUCAUUGAGGAAGUGGAAGAGCACUGAGGAUGUUUUGCCCAAGUGCCCUCCGAAACCUUGAACCAACAUUGUUUUCCAGCGUGGAAAGAGUAGUCCGUCCCCAGAGAGAGAUCCAGCCUCAUAAAACCACCUCCUCCCGACACCGGAGAGAUCUCCACAGCCCUUGGAUUAGCAAGCUUAGGGGCAGAUCAGGGGAAGGUAUGGAUCUCAUUCCUCUGACGCUAUCUGAAAUGGUGUUGUUGUGCAUAUGUAUUCUGUCUCCUAUUGGAAACCACCACCACUGAAAACAGAGCUGUAGCUACAGGGGGGAUGGGGAGCCAGUUUUUUGCCCCAGGUGAAGCCUCCAGAGGGGUGCCAUUGAGGCUCCCAACCUGUGUAUGUGUAUGUACACGUACAUGUACGUGGGUGGGUGUGCCAAACUGGGUCUUUAAAGGAGGCGGGAGGAAAAGCAGCAUUUCAUCCUCCCUUCCAACCACAUUCCUGACAGGGCUCUAGAUACGGCAUGUUGUCCAUCUUUGGUUCUCCGUCACCCCCUUUGGAUUGCUGUGUUUUAAACCAUUUUUACUUUAAACAGCAGCCCCAAGUCGCAUCCCACGCUAAGCAGCAAACUUAUGGGGAUCUACUUUGAUCCUCAGGGUUUUGUUUUGUUUUGUUUGCCUCACAAUGACUAAAAGUGCAUAUUCUUACUCGUCAUGGUAGUAACAUUUGGAUACAGCAAAAACUCUUGGGAAAAAUUACUCUACUGUGGGUAGUGUUUUUUUACCGUGUACAUAAAAUCUAGCAAUGCCGUGAAUAAUUAUUUGGAACUUCUACAGGGUUAUUUUUAGUGCUACUAUUCUAGCCAAAUCAUAAUUUUAAAGCCACGUGCCUGGAACAAAUGUGUGGAGGUUGAGAGCAAUUUUUGUUACAAGUCUUGGUGCAAUAGCUGACACAGAUGAAUUUAUUUUUGUGAGCAACUUUUUCCUCUCAAUGUUUUUUUUUUUAAAGUGGGCAGGGGGACUCAGGUUUGUUUCCUUACUUUUAUGCACGAGGAACACUUAGUAAAAGUAGGUUUGAAUAGAUAAAGUGGUGUCAUUGCACAAAAAUAACGGAGUAGAUUUUUUGAAGUUUGUAGUCUGAAGCUCAUUUACUCUGUUUUCAAAAAAAAGCUCAAAGGAGUUCAAAAGAAUGCUGUGUGCAUUGAUUUUUUAAAGCAGUGAAAAGCAAAAAAUGUAAAGAAGUAUUUAAUCUGCCUAAGUUUAAAGGGGAAAUGUCAAAAGACUGAAGAGAAGGUAUAAAUAUGUCACCUUACCUUAUACUGUAAGUUUUUAGUUUUUGAUAUACAGCAAUGUACAGGGUCGUAUACUUUGAGUAAGCCUCAUUGAGAAGCUGAACAGAAGUGCUGUUCUGAUUCACAUAAACAAUUAUUUCAAUGUGGUGGCAAAAGCAACAUG